AUUGAACGCUGGCGGAAUGCUUUACACAUGCAAGUCGAACGGCAGCACGGACUUCGGUCUGGUGGCGAGUGGCGAACGGGUGAGUAAUACAUCGGAACGUGCCCAAUCGUGGGGGAUAACGUAGCGAAAGCUACGCUAAUACCGCAUACGAUCUAAGGAUGAAAGCGGGGGAUCGCAAGACCUCGCGCGAUUUGAGCGGCCCAUGGCAGAUGAGGUAGUUGGUAGGGCAAAGGCCUACCAAGCUGACGAUCUGUAGCUGGUCUGAGGGGAUGAUCAGCCACACUGGGACUGAGACACGGACCAGACUCCUACGGGAGGCAGCAGUGGGGAAUUUUGGACAAGGGACGCAAGUCUGAUCCAGCCAUUCCGCGUGGAGGAUGACGGACCUCGGGUUGUAAACUGUUUUUGUACAGAAGGAAAAGGCUCUGGUUAAUACCUAGGGCUCAUGACGGUACUGUAAGAAUAAGCACCGGCUAACUACGUGCCAGCCGCCGCCGUAA
rnacentral:rRNA from 1 species